UACGGGGGGAGCAAGCGUUGUUCGGAUUUACUGGGCGUAAAGGGCGCGUAGGCGGCCACCGCAAGUCGGUUGUGAAAUCUCCGGGCUUAACCCGGAAAGGUCAAUCGAUACUGCGGGGCUAGAGUGCAGAAGGGGCAACUGGAAUUCUCGGUGUAGCGGUGAAAUGCGUAGAUAUCGAGAGGAACACCUGCGGCGAAGGCGGGUUGCUGGGCUGACACUGACGCUGAUGCGCGAAAGCCAGGGGAGCGAACGGG
rnacentral:rRNA from 1 species